AUGUGCCCAUUAAUUUCAUAUGGCAGGCUAAACAUUUUGCGCGGGUAAAAAGUAAACGGCACAUGGGUGAAAAAAAGAAAGAAUAUCGAGAACAGAAAAGAGUAAAAUAUGAAAAACAGAGAGCGGAGAGAGCCGAACGCAGCAUGAGCAAAGCUAACCGAGCAUGCAAAGCAGCGCACGACGAUGGCGAAGUGAACGAAGCCAGACGACGACGACGACAACGAUGAUGACACGAUUGUUGGUGCAGUGCGAGGGGGAAGGGGGAUCAGCUUGGAGCGCAGCCAGUUGGAAUUGCACGCGACAAAGGCGAUGCAUGACCAAAACGCGAAAACGAAAAAGAGAACGAGAAAGAGAAGAGGCGGCAACGAUGACGACACAAAAAGCAGCAGCGUCGUUUCUGCUGCUGCUGCUGUCUCUGCUGCUGUUGUCUCUGCUGUCUCGUUGUGCCGGCUGAGGGCUGCUGCUGUUUGCUGGCUGGCUGACUGCUGAGCAGUCGUCAGUCAGUUGGCCAAGAAACUGGUAGCGUCGGUGUUGUGAGCCAACAAAAGGCUGGCAACUGGCAAUUGGCAACUGGCAGCUGGGCAGUUGGCUGCUGCUGGCUGCUUGCUUGCUUGGCACCGGCAACCAAAAGAAAGCACCGUGCGAAUACACAAAAUCAAAAUGUGUGUGUUGGCCACAGGGCACGGCAUUGGCUUUGGCUAUGGCUUUGGCUCUGUUUGACUGUUUUGAGCGACGCGUAGCCAGCCAAGAAAAGUGGCCAGCAGCAGAAGCAGCAGCCGAGUCCGUCAGGAAGCCAGCCAAAAGCCAUUGCCAGCGAGCCAGCCAGCCAACAACCAAGUAGCAGCAACAGCAAUUACUGCUGGCCAACAAGGUGGUGAUGGUGAAGGUCCAAGAUGAUGAUGAUGAUGACGACGCAGCGACAGCAACUGCUGCCAAGCAGCAGCGCAGGAUGUGAUGACAGACGACGAGAAGAAGGAGGCACAUUUUCUUUUUGGCCGCUAAACGCAGUUUGAUUAGCCAAGUCAAACACAACAAAUGCGCUGACCCAAGAUCAGCCCAGAAUGGAUGCCAAUUGACAGCUAUAACACACACACUCGCUCACACACACACGGGCAGUUGUGGACAUGCAGUGGCGCAGCGGAGCAGCAGCAGCAAACAAGAACCGCAGUCGGAGCUGCGCCGCAGGAUGCGUUCGUCUCGAUUAUACAGCAUAAAAAACAAUUAAACAAACAAAAACAAAAUACGUGUCGCGCUGCAACAACAACAACCAACAUCGCGCUGUGUGCGCCACAAGUGCAAGUGUGUGUGUGUGUGUGUGUUUGUGUGUAAAGUGUGUGAUUGUGCGACAACCUUUUGAACUGACCAACGUGCGCCGCCAACUCGGGCAGCCAAUAAAACCAAAAAAAAAACACGCAAAGCUGCGCCAAUGGAGCAACUGGCGAAGCGCCCAAAACAGCAACAACAACAACAACAAUAGUCGUAGUAAUAGCCAAGUCCAUAACCAUUGUUUCAAACAGGCCAACUAAUGAUUUGUCAGCCAUGUCAGAGCCAUGGCGCAAAUUGGCCCCGCAAGCAAAAGGCAAAGGCAAACGCGUGCGAAACCUCAAAGGAUGCGCAUCAAGCGAACAUUGCGCAUACGCCGCGUGCAACACCCAUUCAAAAAUAACCAACUUCUACUUAAUACAACGUAGUGUAUAAUAACAAUACCACUUGAUUACAAUACUUCAAACUUAAUACAACUAGUGUUUAGUGCUUACAACAAAAAAAAAAAAAAAACAAUGAGAAAAAUACAACAAAAAAAUAUGUAGCAAACGUAGCGUUUACUUCAAAGCAACUUAUAUAACCACAAAACUAUGAUAUAAUAUCCCCCCAACUUAUAAGCAUUAGUGCAAUAUAUAAAUAUAUUGGUAAUUGUACUUGAUCGUGAUUAACGUUUAGUUCAACUACUUGGUAAAUGAAAGCACUCGUAGACAAUUCUUAAUAACGAAACAAAACAAAAGAAAACAACCAAACCGAAAAUGAUCGUCAGAUAGAGUUUUACGCGUCGCUGGCAAAAACGUUGCGGACCUUUCAAUGAAUGGUGAUGACAGCUCGUGGAAAUGGAAAUCGUGCGAGGAAAAGCAAAUGUAGAUAGGAAGACAACUGAGCGGUUAAUAGAGUGGACAAUGGCGAUGCGCUAAAGGAGCCUCGUUUUGGCCAAUUGGCGGCGACGGCCGCUGCAACGAAGUCUAAGGCCUGACCAACCAAAGACAACACGGCGCAGCGGAUGAAAGUCUCGAGUUGGCUGAGAGCAGUGCAGUGCACUUGGCAAACUUACAAGAGUUGCACAACAAAGUCGCACACACACAUACACACAUGCACAAUCUCACAGUCGCAUACACACAGGCGCACACAAACGCGCGGACUUGGGGAGAUUGCUGUGCUCACACGCGCAUGAGAAGUAAAACGUUGAUGAUAAAUCACGCAUACGCCUGUUGGCCCGGCAGACAACACUACAAGUUCGUGUUCGUGUGCCACGUGUAUGUGUGUGCAUCUGUGUCGGUGUGAGUGACACGACUUGCAGUGUUCCUCGGCUUGUUUGCCAACUGCAGUGCAGUCUGCUCGCUUAUAGCCACAACUCGGACGAGUCGGCCGGCAGGCAAUUGGCACGAACGAUGCCUCCUUUGGCUACUACACAAGGCAACGCGACAUUGGAUAACAGCACGACGACCAAUCAGAAGCGGCGACCAACCAGACCAACCACAGCCGAAGCUGAAACCCGUGAGCCGAAGUUAACGUGGCCAACGAUGCCAACUAACCCAAGCUGGCGACAUUUUGUACAUAGUACUAUAUAUGCAAGCAAAAUUAUUAAAUUUAGUUCAGUUUGUAAGAGUCUCAACUAAUUGUAAGUCACAUGCCGGAAGCGUUAGCCCACAGAAUAACAACUUAUGUGGGCAGUAAUAUGAAUGAAUACGAAUACUUAAUAUUCUUAAGAACAUGAAACGAAGAUUGCAAAAUGCGAAAACAUAAAUAAAGGAAACAAAAACCGUAAAGCUCACGAGCCGCACACCCAAAAA